UCUGUCGUGUGGGUGCCAAGUGCUUGAA
rnacentral:piRNA from 1 species